UACGUAGGGUGCGAGCGUUAAUCGGAAUUACUGGGCGUAAAGCGUGCGCAGGCGGCUUCGCAAGUCAGACGUGAAAUCCCCGGGCUUAACCUGGGAAUGGCGUUUGAAACUACGGAGCUGGAGUGUGGCAGAGGGAGGUAGAAUUCCACGUGUAGCGGUGAAAUGCGUAGAUAUGACAUAGAACACCAAUUGCGAAGGCAGCUGGCUACACAUAUAUUGACACUGAGGCUCGAAAGCGUGGGGAUCAAACAGG
rnacentral:rRNA from 1 species